rnacentral:rRNA from 1 species
AUUGAACGCUGGCGGCAGGCCUAACACAUGCAAGUCGAGCGGAUGAGAGGAGCUUGCUCCUUGAUUUAGCGGCGGACGGGUGAGUAAUGCCUAGGAAUCUGCCUGGUAGUGGGGGAUAACGUUCCGAAAGGAACGCUAAUACCGCAUACGUCCUACGGGAGAAAGCAGGGGACCUUCGGGCCUUGCGCUAUCAGAUGAGCCUAGGUCGGAUUAGCUAGUUGGUGAGGUAAUGGCUCACCAAGGCGACGAUCCGUAACUGGUCUGAGAGGAUGAUCAGUCACACUGGAACUGAGACACGGUCCAGACUCCUACGGGAGGCAGCAGUGGAGAAUAUUGGACAAUGGGCGAAAGCCUGAUCCAGCCAUGCCGCGUGUGUGAAGAAGGUCUUCGGAUUGUAAAGCACUUUAAGUUGGGAGGAAGGGCAGUAAGCUAAUACCUUGCUGUUUUGACGUUACCGACAGAAUAAGCACCGGCUAACUUCGUG